GUGUCAGCAGCCGCGGUAAGACGUAGGGCGCGAGCGUUGUCCGGAUUUAUUGGGCGUAAAGGGCUCGUAGGCGGUUGAUUGCGUCCGCCGUGAAAGGCCUCGGCUUAACCGGGGUUUUGCGGUGGAUACGGGUCGACUUGAGGCAAUUAGGGGAGAUCGGAAUUCUACGUGUAGCGGUGAAAUGCGCAGAUAUGUGGAGGAACACCGGUGGCGAAGGCGGAUCUCUGGGAUUGUUCUGACGCUGAGGAGCGAAAGCGUGGGGAGCGAACAGGAUUAGAAACCCGGGUAGUCC
rnacentral:rRNA from 1 species